rnacentral:rRNA from 1 species
UACAGAGGUCUCAAGCGUUGUUCGGAUUCAUUGGGCGUAAAGGGUGCGUAGGUGGCGCCGUAAGUCGGGUGUGAAAUUUCGGAGCUUAACUCCGAAACUGCAUUCGAUACUGCGGUGCUUGAGGACUGGAGAGGAGACUGGAAUUCAUGGUGUAGCGGUGAAAUGCGCAGAUAUCAGGAGGAACACCGAUGGCGAAGGCAGGUCUCUGGGCCACUACUGACGCUGAGAAGCGAAAGCAUGGGGAGCGAACAGG